rnacentral:rRNA from 1 species
AUUGAACGCUGGCGGCAUGCCUUACACAUGCAAGUCGAACGGCAGCACGGGCGCUUGCACCUGGUGGCGAGUGGCGAACGGGUGAGUAAUAUAUCGGAACGUACCUUAUUGUGGGGGAUAACGCAGCGAAAGCUGUGCUAAUACCGCAUAAUCCCUAAGGGGGAAAGCGGGGGACCGUAAGGCCUCGCGCAAUUAGAGCGGCCGAUACCUGAUUAGCUAGUUGGUGAGGUAAAGGCUCACCAAGGCAACGAUCAGUAGCUGGUCUGAGAGGACGAUCAGCCACACUGGGACUGAGACACGGCCCAGACUCCUACGGGAGGCAGCAGUGGGGAAUUUUGGACAAUGGGGGCAACCCUGAUCCAGCAAUGCCGCGUGAGUGAAGAAGGCCUUCGGGUUGUAGAGCUCUUUCGCAAGGGAAGAAAACUUACUUUCUAAUAAAGAGUGAGGUUGACGG